rnacentral:rRNA from 1 species
AACGUAGGAGGCGAGCGUUAUCCGGAUUUACUGGGUGUAAAGCGCGUGCAGGCGGUCGGAUAAGUUGGGUGUGAAAGCUCCUGGCUCAACUGGGAGAGGUCGCUCAAGACUGCCCGACUGGAGCGUGGUAGGGGAAGGCGGAAUUCCAGGUGUAGUGGUGAAAUGCGUAGAUAUCUGGAGGAACACCAGUGGCGAAAGCGGCCUUCUGGACCACGACUGACGCUCAGACGCGAAAGCUAGGGGAGCAAACGGG